UUGAUCCUUACAAGAUAGCUGUUCCAUGUUGGAUUCCUAUUCCAAAAUUCCAGUUAAAGACUAAAGUGCUUUCCACCACCAAUAAUUCUAGAGGAGACUUGCAUUCCAAAAAGGGCAGGCAAGGAGCAGAAGCAACAAUAACAACAACAAAGAUUUGAUGCCUAAGCAGAUAUAAUUUAAAGGCAGUGAGAAA